UGGGGAAUAUUGCACAAUGGGCGAAAGCCUGAUGCAGCGACGCCGCGUGAGGGAUGACGGCCUUCGGGUUGUAAACCUCUUUCAGCAGGGAAGAAGCGAGAGUGACGGUACCUGCAGAAGAAGCGCCGGCUAACUACGUGCCAGCAGCCGCGGUAAUACGUAGGGCGCAAGCGUUGUCCGGAAUUAUUGGGCGUAAAGAGCUCGUAGGCGGUUAGUCGCGUCUGCUGUGAAAACUCGAGGCUCAACCUCGGGCUUGCAGUGGGUACGGGCUGACUAGAGUGCGGUAGGGGUGACUGGAAUUCCUGGUGUAGCGGUGGAAUGCGCAGAUAUCAGGAGGAACACCGAUGGCGAAGGCAGGUCACUGGGCCGCAACUGACGCUGAGGAGCGAAAGCAUGGGGAGCGAACAGGAUUAGAUACCCUGGUAGUCCAUGCCGUAAACGUUGGGCACUAGGUGUGGGGUCCAUUCCACGGAUUCCGUGCCGCAGCAAACGCAUUAAGUGCCCCGCCUGGGGAGUACGGCCGCAAGGCUAAAACUCAAAUGAAUUGACGGGGUCAUAGCUGUUUCCU
rnacentral:rRNA from 1 species